rnacentral:rRNA from 1 species
CCGGCGCACGGGUGCGUAACGCGUAUGCAACCUACCUUUUACAGAGGGAUAGCCCAGAGAAAUUUGGAUUAAUACCUCAUAGUAUAUGUUUUUCGCAUGUUAGACAUAUUAAAGUUCCAACGGUAAAAGAUGGGCAUGCGUCCUAUUAGCUAGAUGGUAAGGUAACGGCUUACCAUGGCAACGAUAGGUAGGGGUCCUGAGAGGGAGAUCCCCCACACUGGUACUGAGACACGGACCAGACUCCUACGGGAGGCAGCAGUGAGGAAUAUUGGACAAUGGGCGCAAGCCUGAUCCAGCCAUGCCGCGUGCAGGAAGAAGCAUCUAUGGUGUGUAAACUGCUUUUGUACGGGAAGAAACACUCCUUCGUGAAGGAGCUUGACGGUACCGUAAGAAUAAGGAUCGGCUAACUCCGUGCCAGCAGCCGCGGUAAUACGGAGGAUCCAAGCGUUAUCCGGAAUCAUUGGGUUUAAAGGGUCCGUAGGCGGUUUGGUAAGUCAGUGGUGAAAGCCCGCAGCUCAACUGUGGAACGGCCAUUGAUACUGCCAGACUUGAAUUACAAGGAAGUAACUAGAAUAUGUAGUGUAGCGGUGAAAUGCUUAGAUAUUACAUGGAAUACCAAUUGCGAAGGCAGGUUACUACUUGUGGAUUGACGCUGAUGGACGAAAGCGUGGGGAGCGAACAGGAUUAGAUACCCUGGUAGUCCACGCCGUAAACGAUGGAUACUAGCUGUUGGGGGCAACUUCAGUGGCUAAGCGAAAGUGAUAAGUAUCCCACCUGGGGAGUACGUUCGCAAGAAUGAAACUCAAAGGAAUUGACGGGGGCCCGCACAAGCGGUGGAGCAUGUGGUUUAAUUCGAUGAUACGCGAGGAACCUUACCAAGGCUUAAAUGUAGAUUGACAGGUUUGGAAACAGACUUUUCUUCGGACAAUUUACAAGGUGCUGCAUGGUUG